CCUACGGGUGGCAGCAGUGGGGAAUAUUGGGCAAUGGGCGCAAGCCUGACCCAGCAACGCCGCGUGAAGGAAGAAGGCUUUCGGGUUGUAAACCUCUUUUAUCAGGGACGAAGCAAGUCACGGUCUGUGUUGAAUACGCCACGGCUAUCUACGUGCGAGCAGCCGCUGUUAUACGUAGGGGGCAAGCGUUAUCCGGAUUUACUGGGUGUAAAGGGCGUGUAGGCGGGAGUGCAAGUCAGAUGUGAAAUCUAUGGGCUCAACCCAUAGCCUGCAUUUGAAACUGUACGUCUUGAGUGCUGGAGAGGCAAUCGGAAUUCCGUGUGUAGCGGUGAAAUGCGUAGAUAUACGGAGGAACACCAGUGGCGAAGGCGGAUUGCUGGACAGUAACUGACGCUGAGGCGCGAAAGCGUGGGGAGCAAACAGGAUUAGAUACCCCGGUAGUC
rnacentral:rRNA from 1 species